ensembl:snoRNA
AAGCACUGCCUUUGAACCUCGUGUGUCUUGUUUGUAGCUUCACUGGCCAAGCAACAGUGCUAGAGCAUAAGGACUUGUUAUAACUGGGGUUCUUCAGCUCUCAACUGCUCUUUUAACAACAAGAUACAUUU